rnacentral:miRNA from 1 species
CAGGGACGAGGCAGAGCAUGG